AGUGGAAUUGCUAGAUCAUAUGGUAAUUCUCUGUUUAACUUUUUGAGGAACUGCCAAACUGUUUUCCAUAGUGACUGAACCAUUUUACUUCCCACUAGCAAU
rnacentral:pre_miRNA from 2 species